AAAAAUUUUAUAAUAUUUUAAAAUUUUAAUUUGACUAUGCUCUUGAAACUCUUUUGUUGAGGAAGAAGAAAAGUGUCGUUGUGGCUCAUGAAACUCUUUUGCUGAGGAGGAAGAAGGUGUCGCGGUGGAUUAUGAAACUCCUUCACUCAAGGAAUUGUGGCUCAGCCUUCAGAGGAAGACGUUUUUGAUUUUAUCUUUCUCCUUGAAAUCAGUUCAGCGUGUUUCUCACCGUUCUCACCUCGAACAGGUUUAUUUAUUUAUCUCUUGAUUUUGCCCUAACUUCCUUGAUUUUGUUUUGUAGUUAUCUGAUUGUUUUGGAGUUCUACUGAUUUUCUUGACUUUCCUUAUUUUGUU